GAGACAGCAGUAGCCGCGGUAAUACGGAGGGUGCAAGCGUUAAUCGGAAUUACUGGGCGUAAAGCGCACGCAGGCGGUCUGACAAGUCAGAUGUGAAAUCCCCGGGCUUAACCUGGGAACUGCAUUUGAAACUGUCAGGCUGGAGUCUUGUAGAGGGGGGUGGAAUUCCAGGUGUAGCGGUGAAAUGCGUAGAGAUCUGGAGGAAUACCGGUGGCGAAGGCGGCCCCCUGGACAAAGACUGACGCUCAGGUGCGAAAGCGUGGGGAGCAAACAGGAUUAGAUACCCGUGUAGUCCCUGUCUCUUAUAC
rnacentral:rRNA from 1 species